rnacentral:misc_RNA from 2 species
AUAUAUCAACCUCUUCAGCUUUUGCUUAUUGAGUGUUGGAUGUGGGGGUCUUUUGCUGGUCUUUUAAAAGAGAUCAGCUCCCCUAAAAUGUAUUAGCAGAACAAUUUGUUGAUCGUUCAUUGGUGUGAUAAUUAUCUACGCUAUUGACGUGAAGCAGUUCAGCUUCUAACUGUCCAUUGACUUGGACAAUUUUUCAUUA